UACGAAGGGGGCUAGCGUUGCUCGGAAUCACUGGGCGUAAAGGGUGCGUAGGCGGGUUUUAAGUCAGGGGUGAAAUCCUGGAGCUCAACUCCAGAACUGCCUUUGAUACUGAAGAUCUUGAGUCCGGGAGAGGUGAGUGGAACUGCGAGUGUAGAGGUGAAAUUCGUAGAUAUUCGCAAGAACACCAGUGGCGAAGGCGGCUCACUGGCCCGAUACUGACGCUGAGGUGCGAAAGCGUGGGGAGCAAACAGG
rnacentral:rRNA from 1 species